rnacentral:snRNA from 1 species
AUACUUACCUGGUGCUGGGUCAGCGGUGAUCACUGAGGCCGCUGCCCCGUGCCGAGGCCAUUCCAUUGCACUGCGGUUGGCUGAAGCACGCCACUUCCCCAAGUCGGGGUAGCUGGAGCACGCAAUUUUUGGUAGUGGGGCUAGGCGUACGCGCCAGCCCCC